rnacentral:lncRNA from 1 species
CUUCAGCUAACUGAAACAGAAUUUCCCUCUUUUUCAGUUAGUUAAGUCAGCGACUUUCGGAGAUAAUCACUUCCUUUGUACACAUUUUCAUCAGCCUCCUAACAAAUGCAUUUCUAUCUCCCCUGCUCCAGUUUGCUGCCAUAUGUAAUCUCCAUCCAUUAGAGCAGAGUGAUGGUAAUUGUGCACUCUCACCUUCACAUGGCAAUUAUCAUAAAUAUCUUUCCACUUCUUCUCUCCAUUACAGCCAUAUUUGGUGGCUACUGCACACAUUCUCCUUAAAGAAACUUAUGCGUCAUAAUAUUCUACUAUGCAAAUUACAUAAGUAAUAGCCUAGCUGUAAAGUUUUAAAACAAUAUGCCUUUUAUGAAGGAGCAAUCACUGGUUGCUUAACUUAUUCCCUCUGUUAUGGAAAAAGGAGAAGGGUAAACUUGAGAGAUUAGUACGGAGCGAAAUAGGGCUCAACAGAUGUUCAUGCCUCCAUGGGAACAUGCUGUCUUGGAAUGGUACAGAUGGCAAUCCAAACUUAAGGCUGAGGAUGGAACACAAUCAUUUAGAAGAAACUACUCCAUGCGCUCCUCAGAUUUUUCUCCUCCUAGUGCACUCACAGCAUAACAUUCCAAGUUUUUUUUUUUUUUAAAUAGAUCUUUUAAACAACAUUGACAUUGCCUUGUUUCCAGAUUUAUCCUGAAUGAAGACUCGUGUCCACAGUUAGCACUGGUGCUUUCCAGUACUGGGGCAACCACAAAUUAACACAAAAUAGCAUCCUUUCCUGCUGUUCAAACAUGUGCAAACAUGCAAACAUAAAGCCCUUGAGAAGAAAGGCAAACUCUGC